CCUACGGGUGGCAGCAGUAGGGAAUCUUCCACAAUGGGCGCAAGCCUGAUGGAGCAACACCGCGUGAGUGAAGAAGGGUUUCGGCUCGUAAAGCUCUGUUGUUGGGGAGGAACGUGCGGGAGAUUAACUGUUCACGCAGUGACGGUAUCCAACCAGAAAGUAACGGCUAACUACGUGCCAGCAGCCGCGGUAAUACGUAGGGGGCAAGCGUUAUGCGGAUUUAUUGGGCGUAAAGCGAUCGCAGGCGGUUGCUUAGGUCUGAUGUGAAAGCCUUGGGCUUAACCGAAGAAGUGCAUCUGAGACCGGGAGACUUGAGUGCAGAAGAGGACAGUAGAACUCCAUGUGUAGCGGUGGAAUGCGUAGAGAUAUGGAAGAACACCAGUGGCGAAGGCGGCUGUCUGGUCUGAAACUGACGCUGAGGCUCGAAAGCAUGGGUAGCGAACAGGAUUAGAUACCCGGGUAGUC
rnacentral:rRNA from 1 species